rnacentral:rRNA from 1 species
CCCUUAGAUGUUCUGGGCCGCACGCGCGCUACACUGAAGGGAUCAGCGUGUUUUCCCUUUCCGAGAGGAACGGGUAACCCGCUGAACCCCCUUCGUGGUAGGGAUCGGAGCUUGCAAUUGUUCUCCGUGAACCGGGAAUUCCCAGUAAGCGCAAGUCAUAAGCUUGCGUUGAUUACGUCCCUGCCCUUUGUACACACCGCCCGUCGCUACUACCGAUUGAACGUUUUAGUGAGGUAUUUGGACUGGGCCUUGGAAGGUUUCGGCCUCCCUUGUUGCUCGGAAAGACUCCCAAGCUUGAGCGUUUAGAGGAAGUAAAAGUCGUAACA